GCGCCAGCCUUCACAGGCGGCUGUGCAUCCUCAGGCUUCGCGGGAGCCUGAGGAUGUUGCACAGGGGAGAAUGAGACAUCCAGGAUCAUCCUGCAGGAGUGACCUCACUGGACCUGGGUCUUCAGAAUUUCCUGUGUCUCGACAUCAGACCCUUAAAUAAAUUCCCAAAUGUGGAUGCAAUGACUGGCACCUCAGCAGUUACUCUGAACCAUGAGGUGACCUGAGAAUGGAAGCCACAUGUGGGUGAGCAGAAAGU